rnacentral:rRNA from 1 species
UACGUAGGGGGCAAGCGUUGUCCGGAUUUAUUGGGCGUAAAGAGCGUGUAGGCGGCCAGGUAGGUCCGUUGUGAAAACUGGAGGCUUAACCUCCAGCUGUCGAUGGAAACCAUCUGGCUAGAGUCCGGAAGAGGAGAGUGGAAUUCCUGGUGUAGCGGUGAAAUGCGCGGAUAUCAGGAAGAACACCCGUGGCGAAGGCGGCUCUCUGGGACGGUACUGACGCUGAGACGCGAAAGCGUGGGGAGCGAACAGG